AACACGGACUCGAAAACGGUGGACGCUCAGGCCGGCGCCGAGACCUCGUCGAGCCUUCUGAUGGCGGCGAUGGCCGGCAUGAACUUCAUCUACGACGCCG
rfam:Euryarchaeota archaeon RBG_16_62_10 RBG_16_scaffold_1602, whole genome shotgun sequence.